AGUGAACGCUGGCGGCAGGCCUAACACAUGCAAGUCGAACGGCAGCACAGGGGUAGCAAUACCCUGGGUGGCGAGUGGCGGACGGGUGAGGAAUACGUCGGAAUCUGCCUAUUUGUGGGGGAUAACGUAGGGAAACUUACGCUAAUACCGCAUACGCCUACGGGGAAAGCGGAGGACCUUCGGCUUCGCGCAGAUAGAUGAGCCGACGUCGGAUUAGCUAGUUGGCGGGGUAAAGGACCCGACCAACGGCGACGAUCCGUAGCUGGUCUGAGAGGAUGAUCAGCCACACUGGAACUGAGACACGGUCCAGACUCCUACGGGAGGC
rnacentral:rRNA from 1 species